GAUGAAGAACGCAGCGAAACGCGAUAAGUAAUGUGAAUUGCAGAAUCCAGUGAAUCAUCGAAUCUUUGAACGCACAUUGCGCCCGCCAGCAUUCUGGCGGGCAUGCCUGUUCGAGCGUCAUUUCAACCCUCGACCCCCCCUUGGGGAGGUCGGCGUUGGGGACCGGCAGCACACCGCCGGCCCUGAAAUGGAGUGGCGGCCCGUCCGCGGCGACCUCUGCGCAGUAAUACAGCUCGCACCGGGACCCCGACGCGGCCACGCCGUAAAACACCCAACUUCUGAACGUUGACCUCGAAUCAGGUAGGACUACCCGCUGAACUUAAGCAUAUCAAUAAGCGGAGGA
rnacentral:misc_RNA from 1 species